rnacentral:lncRNA from 1 species
UGUUGUAUUUAAGAAUGAACCUACUCGAGUCUCGGGUGCUAAAGUGGUUGUCUCUUGGAAUCUCAGAAAAAUCAAAUUUGGGUUAAAACACUUGACUUGUGCAGAAUAAAGGGCAAGAUUACUUUCAAAUCAAUAUAUUGAGAAGUCCAUUCUCUUAUUCUGAGGAUUCUACUUGAUUACAGUUCAAGAUUGAAUGUUUCUUUGAACUGGUGAAUGAGGAGAGACAUAUUUGAAAGCUAUGAAUUCAUUUACUUAUGGAGUAAACUGGCCUACUGACCUGAAUCAUAUUGAUGGAAAGAAAGUGAAGGGACUUGAAGGGAUAUAAGUCAUUAUUGGAAUAAUAUAACCAACUUCUUGGUGAUUUAAUAAAGGUUUAUUUGAGAUGCUAAAUGUAAUAAGCCGGAAAAAUUUAUAGGAUAUUCCUUCAAUAAUCCUUUUUUCAAGGAUAAUCGUGGAAUAUUUCCUUGGGUCUGAGAUGGGCACUUUAUUCAUCUUUAGAGAGGUAAUUAAAUGUCUUUGAAUUUAUAUUUAUGUAGUACAUAAAAAAAUGAAAAAUAAAAGCUCUGAAUUACAUUUAGUGAUGACUUAGAUGACGAGACUGAGAUUUUUGGUGGAGUAGUCUAUAUAUUGACGUUCUGUCGAUUUAGAUGAUGCCAUCAAAAUCGCUUGUUUGAUUGACAAACGAGGCAUUUGUCUGAAAUUAAUUUUGAGCUUUUUCAAAUUUUUACUUUUAUUUUAAGUUUUACUUUAGUUCUUUUUCUCAUUACUAAAGAAUUUUUUUUUCUUCUUUUUAUAGGAGAAUUUAUUUUAUACAGAAGACAUCGUUUCCUAUUAAUUUAGAAGACUUGAAGAGAUAAAAGAUAUAAAAUAAUGCUCAAGAUAGAAGUACCUUUCUAUGUAGGAAUAUUUAAGAGGAUAUGGAGAAAGGAAACUUCAAGAUAAUCAGGAUGAUCAUAAGGAGUCUGAUGUUAGGAAGUUAAUUAAGGCUACAAAGAUGAAAGAGAAAAGAAUUCGGAAGGCAUUUAGAGAGGUCUGUCUCAAGGAAAAAAUAAAGUUACAAGCAAGGAGCUAGAAUUGAAGUCAAAUGGUGGAAGAGGAAUCUGAGAAGGGAAUAAAUAAAAGAGGCCGGUCUUACAUAUCACUAGGAACUUAAAUAAGAUAGGAUGAAGCUUGCUCCUCGAGAUGCAUAACGGGCAAGGAUUACAUACAAAAAUGGCUCGAAAAAUAAAAGUGAAGAAGCAUGCAAGGAUUUUUCUUAUAUAUUCCUCUUCUACUCAGGAUAUCAUCUACAAACAUAUUAUUCUCUCUAUAAUGAACCUACUCGAGUCUCGGGUGCUAAAGUGGUUGUCUCUUGGAAUCUCAGAAAAAUCAAAUUUGGGUUAAAACACUUGACUUGUGCAGAAUAAAGGGCAAGAUUACUUUCAAAUCAAUAUAUUGAGAAGUCCAUUCUCUUAUUCUGAGGAUUCUACUUGAUUACAGUUCAAGAUUGAAUGUUUCUUUGAACUGGUGAAUGAGGAGAGACAUAUUUGAAAGCUAUGAAUUCAUUUACUUAUGGAGUAAACUGGCCUACUGACCUGAAUCAUAUUGAUGGAAAGAAAGUGAAGGGACUUGAAGGGAUAUAAGUCAUUAUUGGAAUAAUAUAACCAACUUCUUGGUGAUUUAAUAAAGGUUUAUUUGAGAUGCUAAAUGUAAUAAGCCGGAAAAAUUUAUAGGAUAUUCCUUCAAUAAUCCUUUUUUUCAAGGAUAAUCGUGGAAUAUUUCCUUGGGUCUGAGAUGGGCACUUUAUUCAUCUUUAGAGAGGUAAUUAAAUGUCUUUGAAUUUAUAUUUAUGUAGUACAUAAAAAAAUGAAAAAUAAAAGCUCUGAAUUACAUUUAGUGAUGACUUAGAUGACGAGACUGAGAUUUUUGGUGGAGUAGUCUAUAUAUUGACGUUCUGUCGAUUUAGAUGAUGCCAUCAAAAUCGCUUGUUUGAUUGACAAACGAGGCAUUUGUCUGAAAUUAAUUUUGAGCUUUUUCAAAUUUUUACUUUUAUUUUAAGUUUUACUUUAGUUCUUUUUCUCAUUACUAAAGAAUUUUUUUUUCUUCUUUUUAUAGGAGAAUUUAUUUUAUACAGAAGACAUCGUUUCCUAUUAAUUUAGAAGACUUGAAGAGAUAAAAGAUAUAAAAUAAUGCUCAAGAUAGAAGUACCUUUCUAUGUAGGAAUAUUUAAGAGGUAUGCCAUUCAUUACUUAUUUUGAUGAGGUUUUUAUUUCGUCUCUUGGACCCAACGUUCCUUAAAUUUCAUGGAAAAGAUUGGUAUCUCUAUGACGAUAGAUAAAUCUUCAGUUUUGUCAUAGUUGGUCAGGAUCAUUUAUGCCAUUGACUUGACCUCUCCAACAUCACAUACAAUUCCUUAAAAUAUCACUGGUUUUCAAGUGAUUAUUUAUAGUUCUUCUUUUUGCUUUUAGGAUAUGGAGAAAGGAAACUUCAAGAUAAUCAGGAUGAUCAUAAGGAGUCUGAUGUUAGGAAGUUAAUUAAGGCUACAAAGAUGAAAGAGAAAAGAAUUCGGAAGGCAUUUAGAGAGGUCUGUCUCAAGGAAAAAAUAAAGUUACAAGCAAGGAGCUAGAAUUGAAGUCAAAUGGUGGAAGAGGAAUCUGAGAAGGGAAUAAAUAAAAGAGGCCGGUCUUACAUAUCACUAGGAACUUAAAUAAGAUAGGAUGAAGCUUGCUCCUCGAGAUGCAUAACGGGCAAGGAUUACAUACAAAAAUGGCUCGAAAAAUAAAAGUGAAGAAGCAUGCAAGGAUUUUUCUUAUAUAUUCCUCUUCUACUCAG